GACGGGUGAGUAAUGCCUAGGAAAUUGCCCUGAUGUGGGGGAUAACCAUUGGAAACGAUGGCUAAUACCGCAUGAUGCCUACGGGCCAAAGAGGGGGACCUUCGGGCCUCUCGCGUCAGGAUAUGCCUAGGUGGGAUUAGCUAGUUGGUGAGGUAAGGGCUCACCAAGGCGACGAUCCCUAGCUGGUCUGAGAGGAUGAUCAGCCACACUGGAACUGAGACACGGUCCAGACUCCUACGGGAGGCAGCAGUGGGGAAUAUUGCACAAUGGGCGCAAGCCUGAUGCAGCCAUGCCGCGUGUGUGAAGAAGGCCUUCGGGUUGUAAAGCACUUUCAGUCGUGAGGAAGGUAGUGUAGUUAAUAGCUGCAUUAUUUGACGUUAGCGACAGAAGAAGCACCGGCUAACUCCGUGCCAGCAGCCGCGGUAAUACGGAGGGUGCGAGCGUUAAUCGGAAUUACUGGGCGUAAAGCGCAUGCAGGUGGUUUGUUAAGUCAGAUGUGAAAGCCCGGGGCUCAACCUCGGAAUUGCAUUUGAAACUGGCAGACUAGAGUACUGUAGAGGGGGGUAGAAUUUCAGGUGUAGCGGUGAAAUGCGUAGAGAUCUGAAGGAAUACCGGUGGCGAAGGCGGCCCCCUGGACAGAUACUGACACUCAGAUGCGAAAGCGUGGGGAGCAAACAGGAUUAGAUACCCUGGUAGUCCACGCCGUAAACGAUGUCUACUUGGAGGUUGUGGCCUCCCACCCGCGGCUUUCUGAGCUGACGCUUUAAUUGACCGCCUGGGGAGGACCGCCGCGCGAUUAAAACUCAAAUGAAAUAACAGGGCGCGCACAGCGGUGAAGCAUGUGGUUUAAUCCUCGCCACCCCCCAUAACCUUACCUCUUCUGGACCUGCAGUAAACUGUCCAUAGUGGAUGGGUACCUCAGGAACUGCUGAAACAAGAGCAGCAUGCUCCUCUCACUCAGUUGCUAACA
rnacentral:rRNA from 1 species